rnacentral:rRNA from 1 species
UGGGGAAUAUUGCACAAUGGGCGCAAGCCUGAUGCAGCCAUGCCGCGUGUGUGAAGAAGGCCUUCGGGUUGUAAAGCACUUUCAGCGAGGAGGAAGGGUAGUGUGUUAAUAGCACAUUGCAUUGACGUUACUCGCAGAAGAAGCACCGGCUAACUCCGUGCCAGCAGCCGCGGUAAUACGGAGGGUGCAAGCGUUAAUCGGAAUUACUGGGCGUAAAGCGCACGCAGGCGGUUUGUUAAGUCAGAUGUGAAAUCCCCGCGCUUAACGUGGGAACUGCAUUUGAAACUGGCAAGCUAGAGUCUUGUAGAGGGGGGUGAGAAUUCCAGGUGUAGCGGUGAAAUGCGUAGAGAUCUGGAGGAAUACCGGUGGCGAAGGCGGCCCCCUGGACAAAGACUGACGCUCAGGUGCGAAAGCGUGGGGAGCAAAACAGGAUUAGAUACCCUGGUAGUCCACGCUGUAAACGAUGUCGACUUGGAGGUUGUGCCCUUGAGGCGUGGCUUCCGGAGCUAACGCGUUAAGUCGACCGCCUGGGGGAGUACGGCCGCAAGGUUAA